GACUACUGGCCAUGCGACAUGGAAGUUCACAUCUCUGGGUCUUAACUACUUCACCUUUAAAGUGACUGUUUCCUAAGUAGCCUGACGUGUAUCAUGUUUAGCAAAGGCCUGGUACACCGUGGGUUCAGGAUCCAGAAUUAGGCCCAAGACAUUUGAGACUCUAUCAGGGAAUGGCACAAAAGGUCAGGCUUAAAGGAGGAAACCACGCCAAAGUCAGGACAAGCCACUUCUUACCUGCAUGGCCUUGGGUGAGCCUGUGAACCUCUCUGAGCCUCAGUUUUCAUAUCUGUAACAUGGGGUAAUGGCACCAACCCUGUAAGACGUGUGCAGACACCGUUUUACUCCCGGUGGAACAACUGACCUGGUUAGCUGGAUCUUCCUUCUUUGUUUCUGGCCCCUCCAGUAACUGUGACUCCAGUCUUGAGCACAGUGGUCCUGGAGGUGCCCAGGGGCAAUGUGAAAUGUGCCCAGAGCUUCCAGAGCUUUCCAUUAUCACCUGGGGAGACAAGACACAGGUGAACUGACUGAAGAGACCAUCACUUCACUGUGUCGUGAAGACUACAAACACCUCAAAUAAUGAGCAUGCAGGGAGCUGACAAUCUUGCUUUGGGUCUCGAUUUUCUCAUCUAUAGUAUUAUGGACCCAUCACACAGUUGUGACUAACUAAGGACUUUAUGUAUAUAUGUUUGUGACAUCAUGCCUCAUUGUGAAUAUGCUAAAGCUUAAUGGACUCUUGAA